AAAACGUCAAAAAUAAAAGUGAAGAGAUCGAUGCGGAAAUCAGAGGAGCCAUCGGUAAAAUCACUGUUGUCGAAAGUGUAGUUCUGAAAUCCAUUCCGGCCAGUUAAAGGGAGCCAAGUAACGUGAAGUAAUUCGUUCACGGAUAAAGGGAGAUCACCGAACAUUGGCAAUUUAGUGGAUUCACCGGAGAAUCUCUCCACCUCGAAUGUGCACCGUUGACGAGGUUUUAAUUACGCUAAUUACUCGAACGAAGCGGUACAACAGGCAGCCACCAGGGUGUAUCGUCGUGGGAAAUGCCUGAGUGUCGUGAUUUUGAUGUGGGAUAAAAAAUAGCGCAAAUAGGCUGAAUACCCGAUAAAUUUGAGGUUAGUUACCGUUCUUCUUCAUCGAUGUAGUCACGUGAUAGGGUGGCGGUGUCGUGGACGUCGUAGAUGGUGCUGGAAUCUCUGUGAAGGAAAAGAUGAAGUUUGAAUAUUUUCCCAAUUUAUUCACCCAAGGAGGUGGAAAAGUAUACUCUCUCGGGAUAAAUAUAUCUUUCGUAAAUUUAAUCGCCAAUUACGAGGCACGUUGAAACGAUAAGGAUGCUUGACCUCGUCAAACGAUCGAUAACCAUCGACUAGGAAAUGAUACGAGUUUUUUGCGCAAAAUCUAUUGAAAAUCUAUUCAUUUUUUUCAUUACAAGAUCGUAUAUACGUCAAGAAAGAAUUACUUAAUUUUUCA